GUAGGUGGCAAGCGUUGUCCGGAAUUAUUGGGCGUAAAGCGCGCGCAGGCGGUUCUUUAAGUCUGAUGUGAAAGCCCACGGCUCAACCGUGGAGGGUCAUUGGAAACUGGAGAACUUGAGUACAGAAGAGAAAAGCGGAAUUCCACGUGUAGCGGUGAAAUGCGUAGAGAUGUGGAGGAACACCAGUGGCGAAGGCGGCUUUCUGGUCUGUAACUGACGCUGAGGCGCGAAAGCGUGGGGAGCAAACAGGGAUUAGAUACCCUGGUAGUCCACGCCGUAAACGAUGAGUGCUAAGUGUUAGGGGGGUUUCCGCCCCCUUAGUGCUGCAGCUAACGCAUUAAGCACUCGCCUGGGGAUACGGCCGCAAGGCUG
rnacentral:rRNA from 1 species